rnacentral:rRNA from 1 species
GUAGGGAAUCUUCCGCAAUGGACGAAAGUCUGACGGAGCAACGCCGCGUGAGUGAUGAAGGUUUUCGGAUCGUAAAACUCUGUUGUUAGGGAAGAACAAGUACCGUUCGAAUAGGGCGGUACCUUGACGGUACCUAACCAGAAAGCCACGGCUAACUACGUGCCAGCAGCCGCGGUAAUACGUAGGUGGCAAGCGUUGUCCGGAAUUAUUGGGCGUAAAGCGCGCGCAGGCGGUUUCUUAAGUCUGAUGUGAAAGCCCCCGGCUCAACCGGGGAGGGUCAUUGGAAACUGGGGAACUUGAGUGCAGAAGAGGAGAGUGGAAUUCCACGUGUAGCGGUGAAAUGCGUAGAGAUGUGGAGGAACACCAGUGGCGAAGGCGACUCUCUGGUCUGUAACUGACGCUGAGGCGCGAAAGCGUGGGGAGCGAACAGGAUUAGAAACCCUAGUAGUCC